rnacentral:rRNA from 1 species
CAGUCGCCGCGGGAACACGGAGGGAGCUAGCGUUGUUCGGAAUUACUGGGCGUAAAGCGCGCGUAGGCGGUUACUCAAGUCAGAGGUGAAAGCCCGGGGCUCAACCCCGGAACUGCCUUUGAAACUAGGUGACUAGAAUCUUGGAGAGGUCAGUGGAAUUCCGAGUGUAGAGGUGAAAUUCGUAGAUACUCGGAAGAACACCAGUGGCGAAGGCGACUGACUGGACAAGUAUUGACGCUGAGGUGCGAAAGCGUGGGGAGCAAACAGGAUUAGAUACCCCCGUAGUCCCUGUCUCUUAUAC